AUUGAACGCUGGCGGCAGGCCUAACACAUGCAAGUCGAGCGAGCGGCGGACGGGUGAGUAAUGUCGGGGAAACUGCCUGAGGGAGGGGGAUAACUCCUGGAAACGGUCGCUCAUACCGCAUACCAUCAGAUGUGCCCAGAUGGGAUUAGCUAGUAGGUGGGGUAAGUGCUCACCUAGGCGACGAUCCCUAGCUGGUCUGAGAGGCUGACCAGCCACUCUCGAACUGAGACACGGUCCAGACUCCUACGGGAGGCAGCAGUGGGGAAUAUUGCACAAGGGGCGCAAGCCUGAUGCAGCCAUGCCGAGUGUGUGAAGAAGGCCUUCUGGUUGUAAAGCACUUUCAGCGAGGAGGCGUUACUCGCAGAGGAAGCACCGGCUAACUCCGUGCCAGCAGCCGCGGUAAUUC
rnacentral:rRNA from 1 species